UCUUUGUGUUUACAAACCGAGUCGUAUCCGAUAUUAAUCGCUGGAUCGCUUUGGAUCUAUUUGGUGCUAAUCUGUAGGUUGCCGGUAUAGAUGGAUCUACCACAUGAUGGCCUAUACAAUAUCGUCACUGUGUGGUUGUAUCGCUUAGCUAAGGCAGUGUCAGAAUAAAGCAUUGGUGACCGUCUGGCAAGACUAGGAUAAAGAAAACUGCUCGGUAGAUGAACAUUUGCCUGACUCUCAUUCUACUUGUGGAGGUGGGCUUUGCAGACUUGCCUCAUCUUCUACGUCGUUAGCCCUUAGUGUAAGACGAGACUGACAUGCGGCAAAGGUCAUAAAGACAACAUAAUACUUGCACGUUUGAAGAAAAGCAACAGUGUCCUAAAGUUCAGUUUAACUGCUCAAAAUGGACAUUUUAGUAUAACACCGUCGAAAAGAAAGUGCCGUUCGCUGCCUGUUCGACCUGACGUUCACCUUCCAUCUUGCAAAAUAACGCGAACGUGUCCCGCGGAAUUUCAGGCAUUCUAGGCGCUUGCCACUCCUCAGCACUGUCACGCUCCACGUACCCCAUUCGGUCUCGUACACAGUACGUAUAUUCAAACCGAUUCACUUAUUCAAUGGCACAGUUGCUUUUUAUAGGGCUGUAGUCGAAAUGGGGCUCUCUUCCUAGUGCUGACCCAUCUCCUGCCGGGAGAGCAUACGAACUCAUACUGAGCUCCGAUGUCAGGGGAAGACUAAACGCCGACGAAAGGACGCCGUUCUAGUAGAUGAAUGUCUAUCAAUAUAGUGCACGCCACAAAGAAUGACUGCUUGUUGCUACCUUGAAACGCCCUAAAAUGCGGUGGUGAACAUCGAAGAGCCGGGAAAUGCGAGUGCUGCUGAUGACGAUAGAGGGCAUUGAAAAGUUGUUGAUAUAAAUGGGGAACCAUUUUUUCAACAUUGCUUUCUGACAGCUCUCACAGUUUGUCCGGAACAGGGAGAUACGGUUCACCAUGGACAAACAGCGACGACCAUUUCUAACGCUGUCUGUGUCGAAGAAAGGAGCGCUACUUCUUGAAGAGUUCUGCUGGCCGCGAAGUGCAAUGGCCGAGGGAAAUUUGGGCGGUCGCGUUGAAUGUCCCUCGUAUCGAUGUUUUAAUAACAGCACAGCGGCCAACCUACGACAGGCCUCACUUUCCUGUACGUGCAUCAGUGUACGGUGACUUGUUAUCGUCACGUCGCAGACGCGUCGAUUGUGCCUCUUAUGCCUCGAGUGAAAUAGGAAAACCUAUGAAGUCAAGCGAAUCUUGAGGAGCAGUCAUACCGCCAGGGGUAUCUUCAUUCUAAAUACUGCCGAUUCCCUGUUGCGGUAUUUGAGUUAGUAGUGUAUCAUAGACGCAAGACUGGACCCGUAACGGUGGUUGCUUAGAAAGUGAUAAAGCGAUCAGAACUAAAGCUGCCCGUUCCAAAUAACUGAGUGAUUCUUCUAAAUCGAAACACAAAGAGACGUACGCGUAUGUAUGUAUGUACUAUUGACGAGUAUUAUAUCGACUCAAAGAAAAGCACGGGCUAGAUUUUAUAGCUAGAGUUGUGAAGACAGCGAAGAACGGUAGAGCGGUCGCAAAUAGUCGUGUUCGUCUGGGUUCGCAUACUAGACAUGAAAAGUAGGCAAUAACUAAAUGAGAUCAAGAUUCAAGACCCAAGAUCGUCAUUUUAUUGAAAAAUCACUGAAGACAGAAGGCUCAAAUGCUGUUACCUUUGACCACCAGGCUACUAUUUUUGUAUUGGUUACGUAGUAUGUUAGUGUUGCACGUGCAUCAUCUAUAUCGAGAUGUAUAUUGUUUAUUGACGAACUAUCACAAUACUCAAAUAAGAAUGGCAUGCUCGAAUCCUCUACAAAACGUAUUUCCAAUAAACAUUUUAUUCUCU
rnacentral:lncRNA from 1 species